rnacentral:rRNA from 1 species
UAGGGAAUCUUCCGCAAUGGACGCAAGUCUGACGGAGCAACGCCGCGUGAGUGAAGAAGGAUUUCGGUUCGUAAAACUCUGUUGUUAGAGAAGAACAGCGCAUAGAGUAACUGUUAUGCGUGUGACGGUAUCUAACCAGAAAGCCACGGCUAACUACGUGCCAGCAGCCGCGGUAAUACGUAGGUGGCAAGCGUUGUCCGGAUUUAUUGGGCGUAAAGCGAGCGCAGGCGGUCAAUUAAGUCUGAUGUGAAAGCCCCCGGCUCAACCGGGGAGGGUCAUUGGAAACUGGUUGACUUGAGUGCAGAAGAGGAGAGUGGAAUUCCAUGUGUAGCGGUGAAAUGCGUAGAUAUAUGGAGGAACACAAGUGGCGAAGGCGACUCUCUGGUCUGUAACUGACACUGAGGCUCGAAAGCGUGGGUAGCAAACAGG